rnacentral:rRNA from 1 species
AGGGUGUAAACGCUGCAGACUCGGUGUUGGAAGCCCUUUGGGGGCAUUCAGUGCCGGAGAGAAGUUGUUAAGUCUGCUACUUGGGGAGUACGUCCGCAAGGAUGAAACUUAAAGGAAUUGGCGGGGGAGCACCGCAACGGGAGGAGCGUGCGGUUUAAUUGGAUUCAACACCGUAAAACUCACCAGGGAAGACUGUUACAUGAAGGCCGAGAUGAAGACUCUGCUAGAUUUUCAGAGAGGAGGUGCAUGGCGUCAGUGACU